UUUCAAUUUCCCUAAUUUUUUUAAAGAAAAAUAUUAAAGUUUCAACGGUUCACGAGCUUGCGGGGCUUUCUCGGGACUUCAAAUUCCGCGCCAAUAUGGAAUCCGAAGGGCAAAGAAGCGGCUCUAAUCCGGCGGCCAUGCUCGCCUCUCUCAUGGGCAAGAGAGAGAAGCUUCGUGAAGAGCUCCGUAACAUUGAGAAACAGGUGUAUGAGUUAGAGACAAGCUAUUUGCAAGAUUCAGGCCAUUUUGGGAAUGUUCUCAAAGGUUUUGAAGGGUUUCUAUCUUCAUCGAAGAGCACUACAAAUGUAAAAAGGUCCAGGAAAUUUCAGCCAGAAGAUAGACUUUUCUCAUUGUCAUCGGUUACCUCGCCAGCAGCUGAAGAACUUGGACUCGGACGUGAUGAUGGAAGAUCUGAUUUUGGUCCCGGUCGGUCUAAGGGUGGAACCUUAGCUGCUAAUGGGCAGGGGAAACCAAAAAAGGGAAGAACAUCAAUGGGACCAAGAGACG
rnacentral:misc_RNA from 1 species